GCCUUUAAGACGAGGAUAACAGUUGGAAACGACUGCUAAGACUGGAUAGGAGAUAGGAAGGCAUCUUCUUAUUUUUAAAAGACCUAGUAAUAGGUAUGCUUAAAGAGGAGCUUGCGUCACAUUAGUUAGUUGGUAGGGUAAAAGCCUACCAAGACUAUGAUGUGUAGCCGGGCUGAGAGGUCAAACGGCCACAUUGGGACUGAGACACGGCCCAAACUCCUACGGGAGGCAGCAGUAAGGAAUUUUCGGCAAUGGAGGAAACUCUGACCGAGCAACGCCGCGUGAACGAUGAAGUAUUUCGGUAUGUAAAGUUCUUUUAUUAGGGAAGAAAAGAUGGUGGAAAAACCAUUAUGACGGUACCUAAUGAAUAAGCCCCGGCUAACUAUGUGCCAGCAGCCGCGGUAAUACAUAGGGGGCAAGCGUUAUCCGGAAUUAUUGGGCGUAAAGGGUGCGUAGGCGGUUAAAUAAGUUUAUGGUCUAAGUGCAAUGCUCAACGUUGUGAUGCUAUAAAAACUGUUUAGCUAGAGUUGGAUAGAGGCAAGUGGAAUUCCAUGUGUAGUGGUAAAAUGCGUAAAUAUAUGGAGGAACACCAGGAGCGAAGGCGGCUUGCUGGGUCUUAACUGACGCUGAGGCACGAAAGCGUGGGGAGCAAACAGGAUUAGAUACCCUGGUAGUCCACGCCCUAAACGAUGAGUACUAAACGUUGGGUAAAACCAGUGUUGAAGUUAACACAUUAAGUACUCCGCCUGAGUAGUACGUACGCAAGUAUGAAACUUAAAGGAAUUGACGGGACUCCGCACAAGCGGUGGAUCAUGUUGUUUAAUUCGAAGGUACCCGAAAAACCUCACCAGGUCUUGACAUGCUUUUGCAAAGCUGUAGAAAUACAGUGGAGGUUAUCAAUUGCACAGGUGGUGCAUGGUUGUCGUCAGCUCGUGUCGUGAGAUGUUGGGUUAAGUCCCGCAACGAGCGCAACCCUUGUUGUUAAUUGCCAGCAUGUAAUGAUGGGGACUUUAGCAAGACUGCCAGUGAUAAAUUGGAGGAAGGUGGGGACGACGUCAAAUCAUCAUGCCCCUUAUGACCUGGGCUACAAACGUGAUACAAUGGCUGUUACAAAGGGUAGCUAAAGCGCAAGCUUCUGGCGAAUCUCAAAAAAGCAGUCUCAGUUCGGAUUGAAGUCUGCAACUCGACUUCAUGAAGUUGGAAUCGCUAGUAAUCGCGAAUCAGCAUGUCGCGGUGAAUACGUUCUCGGGGUUUGUACACACCGCCCGUCAAACCACGAAAGUUGGCAAUACCCAAAACCGGUGGCCUAACUUGAGUAAUCAAGAGGGAGCCG
rnacentral:rRNA from 1 species